GCUGGGCAUGGUGGCGCAUGCCUGUAGUCCCAGCUACUUAGGAGGCUGAGGCAGGAGAAUUGCUUGAAUCUAGGGGGUGGAGGUUGCAGUCAGCCGAGAUUGUGCUGCUGCACUCCAGCCUGGGCAACAGAGCGAGACUCUGUCUCAA
rnacentral:SRP_RNA from 1 species